GUAAAUAUAGCUUAUGUAAAGCAUUGGUUUUGUAAAUCAAAGAUGAUUUUCCUAUUUAUA
rnacentral:tRNA from 1 species